CUGGACAUGGCAGAGCCCAGCUCGCAUAUAGAAGACACUGCCAGAGGGAUUCCUGGCAGCUGCAGUUCCCAGCACGCACUGGGGGAAGUAGGCGGCGGCAGCACGCAGUGGUUUCAGUGCCACUAGAUGGGACAGAACACCACACCCAGAAGGUGUGUGGGUUACACAGACCUCUGGGAUACCUGUCUUGAAGAGCUGUGGUAGCUUGUCAUCAGCAUUGAUAGUCACCUUAAAAAUAUGGACAUAUUUGAUCAAAGUCCAACAAUUCUGAAUUUAUCUUGGCAGGUUGUUUAGCUCAGGAAAGUACUACCAUAGUAAUAAAGAUAUUGUCUUUAGUCCAUUAACUAAUUCAUGUGGAAAAAUUCUGAAGAUCAUGUAGUGUAAUGUCAGCAAAGAAUUCCCCAUGCUUGAAAAAUUACCUUUCCAAGCUCUGUGCAGCUUUGUCUUCAGUAUUUGUCCUAUUGUCUUCAGAAUAUUUCUGUUACUAGUAUCUCAGACUGUAUAAUGUCAUCUUUCUUUGCAUUUUCUAAGUUCCUUUCUGAUAAGUUAGUAAGUUCCUUACUAAGCAACUGCUGCAUCAGAAUUGCAAAAGAAUGUAUGUGAUUUUGUUAUGGAGUGAACAAGAACCACAAUGCAAUACAAAGCAAGAGUUGACGGGCACUUGGAGGAUGGUAUAAUUUCAUCCUGUUGUCACAAAUAGAUCAGAAGUGUUAUUCUUGAAUUCAGCAAUGACUUGAAGUUGUUGAUGUGAAUUUUCUGGACACUGCAACUGCAUCAGCUGAUUUUAAGGGCUCAUAACACAAAGACUGAGUUACAUCACGACAGUUACUAAGGACUGUGUAGUGACUUCAGUCUGCUCACGGAGUGAAGGCAGUAUAUGGCUCUAAAAUAUUCUGUAAUGCCUGAUAGAUUUAUACCUCAGGGAAUCCCUUAUAUGAAGAAUGUUGUUCAUUUUAGACCCCAAAAUUACAGCUAUUCUACAUGAACGUGCUGGUAUUGCAGCUUUUAUUGUUGUAAAUUAUUUAUCUCAGAUAAGUUGAAUCUUUAUUAUAAAAAGUUUUGCUCUGAGGAAAUUAAUCCCACAAUGUUUAAAGCUUGUUGCUGUAUCUGUCAUUUUGUCCUUUUUGGGGCAGGAGGAAGGGUUCUGUACUUGAGCCUUGGGAGAUUGAGGUACAUACCAAUAAAUGCCAGUUACUUUUUUGAAA